rnacentral:rRNA from 1 species
UUGAACGCUGGCGGCAUGCCUUACACAUGCAAGUCGAACGGCAGCACGGGAGCAAUCCUGGUGGCGAGUGACGAACGGGUGAGUAAUAUAUCGGAACGUGCCCGGUCGUGGGGGAUAACGUAGCGAAAGCUACGCUAAUACCGCAUACGAUCUACGGAUGAAANCGGGGGAUCGCAAGACCUCGCGCGAUUGGAGCGGCCGAUAUCAGAUUAGGUAGUUGGUGAGGUAAAGGCUCACCAAGCCGACGAUCUGUAGCUGGUCUGAGAGGACGACCAGCCACACUGGGACUGAGACACGGCCCAGACUCCUACGAGAGGCAGCAGUGAGGAAUAUUGGACAAUGGGCGCAAGCCUGAUCCAGCCAUGCCGCGUGCAGGAUGACGGUCCUAUGGAUUGUAAACUGCUUUUAUACAGGAAGAAACCCUCCCACGUGUGGGAGCUUGACGGUACUGUAGGAAUAAGGAUCGGCUAACUCCGUG